rnacentral:lncRNA from 1 species
GCCAGUGCCCACAGAAAAACUAAAUUCGGAACCUCUUCCUCCUGUUACACUGGCAACAAAGAGGGAGUUUCCGUAGCGCUCCCGUCACCCACCAGGUGCCCAAUCUCCUUCCCAGCCCAGAGUCGGCGCUCCCGCAGGGGCCUCCGAGUGCGGGGAGGCCGCGGGGCCCGGGUCACGGCACUAAGGGGGGAUGGGGUGCAAGCGAGCAAGCGAGGUCUGCGGAGCGGGCCGUGGAAGGGCUCCGGGACCCGCUGAAACCAUCUGAACCCAGCCAGGGGGCAGCGGGCAAGAGAAAAGGGACAGAAUAUCUAAUGAAGCAGAAACUGGAAUUCGGUGGGAGAGGUGAAGAGCUCUUGCUGGGGGUACACCUGCGAGGAGCACAGAAAACGGGCGGCGGAUGGCGGGGAGACUCCACGGAGGUGGAAGAGAGGAGCCAGGCCCGGAAGAACAGGGAAGGGGAUGCCACCUGGGGCAGAGGAGGCGCCAGUGCAGCCUCUACCUGCAGGCGGGCGGGACGGGCAGCUCAGGUGUGACUGGGAGGAGGGGGCCGACUGGGGAAGGGGCCGGGAAGAGCUGAGGGCGCACUAGGCGCCGCGCAGAGGCGCCUUUGAGUCGGCAGCCGCGGAGCCAGCGCACGGGCAUCGGCGGGACCCGGCGGACGGAAAGGCGGAGUGGGGGUCUUUGGACUGCACGACUAUAAUUUCAUGUGUGUGAAAUUCAAGGGGAAAAAGGAAACAAUACAUAAUCCAGUCUGUAGCUUCUCAUGGAUCGUGCAAAGCACCACCAGGACAGACAUCUCAAGCACAUUUGAAGAGCUCCUGUUUCCUAAGUAAGACAGCAGCAGCAAGACUGCAAUCAUUUCUGGGAAGGCAGUAUCAUCAUAAUGCAAUAUUAGCUACUGUGAUCUUCUAUCAUUUCCUUCCUGGAGAGUUAUGACUGUGGCAUUGAAGAUUUAAGACCUACAGCCUCAACACUACUUACUACAAAUCUCUCACAAAGCUGCUGCAAUAAAUCUCGUGGAGGAAAGUCAUUGCAUAAAAAAAUCCUCAACUCCAGGGAGUUGGCCAUUUAUUUUCCUAGAAAAGGGGCUGUGAUGAGAGACACUCCAUGCUCCUUUAACUCCAUGGAACAGAACCCAACAAAACAUUCAUCAUGGAAAGUUGACUGAUGGGCCCAGUGAGACUAGCUGGGGAAGGAAGAUGGAAAGAGAAGUGCCCCAUCCAAGGCCUGCUCCUUUUCCUAGCUGCAGCCCGGAGGGAUUUCCUCUUAGCUUGAGGAUUGACUUUCCAUAGAAUCAGCACCACUGAGGGUUAAUGUCAAAACACCAG